GCUCCCGUGGUGUAGAGGCCAAGCAUGCGAGCCUCUCGCGCUCGCGACACGAGUUCGAAUCUCGUCGGGAGCA
rnacentral:tRNA from 1 species